rnacentral:rRNA from 1 species
UACGGGGGGGGCAAGCGUUGUUCGGAAUUACUGGGCGUAAAGGGCGCGUAGGCGGCCACCGCAAGUCGACUGUGAAAUCUCCGGGCUUAACCCGGAAAGGUCAAUCGAUACUGCGGGGCUAGAGUGCAGAAGGGGCAACUGGAAUUCUCGGUGUAGCGGUGAAAUGCGUAGAUAUCGAGAGGAACACCUGCGGCGAAGGCGGGUUGCUGGGCUGACACUGACGCUGACAGCGCGAAAGCUAGGGGAGCGAACGGG